UUUAAGUCUUUGAUGAUCUCAUUAUAGUGAGUAUUUUAUUUGUUUUUUUGUAAAAGAAAUGACAUGCGGGAUAUGACGAUGAAUUAAUUGGUCCGUGUUUCUGAUUGCAUUGUGACUGAGAAUCUUUAUUUUGAUUUCUGAUCCCAUUGAUAAACAGUCUACUUAUAUUGUCAUGAAAUAGAUUGUUGAUCAAAAUGUUUUUUGCCCAACUCAUAGAUGGAAGAAAUGGUCGUCUUUCUGUAUAGCAUUGGUGUUUGUUUCAACUGUUUUUACUGAAAUUUAUUAAUUUUCUAAUAGAUUGCUGUGAUGAAAAUGAAAUUCACUUCGCAUGUCAGGCUUCAAAGGCGUUUUGUGCGUCAAUGAGAAGAAAAUUUCAUUUAUUCUAAGCAAGCGAUGAAUAUUUCGUUAAGAUCUCUUCGAGUUCGAAAUUAAGGCCGUCUUUUUUCGCGAGCCGCCAAGGCUAUAUUGUCUAGGGUUUUUAUUCCCUCAAUAUAUAUGAAGUGGAAAAGAGGGCUAAGGGCCAAUUUGUCACGGUUUUCCUCAAAGCUGUGAUCUGCUUCGUGAUCUUCUCCACCUUCUUGUCGCCCUUUUCAGGCCAGGAAACUUGAAGCUCAGCUGGAUGAGCAGUUGAAUCAAUAUCACAGGCUCGUUUCAAUACAGUCCGAUGGCACAGAAUUUGAUCUCGAUUCCAGCUUAGAAUGACUAUUGAAACAACUCCAACUUGUUAAUUCUCAAAUACAAACUUGGGUUUCAUCAGGAGGCUCAGAAAUUCUUUCUCACACAUUGAAUCGGCAUAGAGAAAUUUCACAGGAUCUUACUCAGGUAAAUAUCUUUAUAAAUUUGCUCCGGAGAAAUCAUACCAUAUGUAUCUUCUGUUGUUAGCCCAAAAAAGUUGGUGCAAAACUUGGAAUAUCUCAUUUAAUUUGUAAUUUUUUUUGUCUAAAAUAGAAAUUUGGUUGAGGGAAGCCGUCUUAAAGAAUAACUAGAAGCGGCAUUUACAUACAUAUCACAUCAAAAAUGCUGUACUUACCUAUCUGGCAUCUUAACUUUUGUUUUUACAUUAAUACAACCCAAAUGUUUCAUACCACACCAUAAAUGCUGUCAUUUUUUACUUUUAAAAAGUGAAAA